AGGUCCGCCGCCUUAGGUUGGGUCUGCGGCCGAUUAGGUAGUUGUUGGGGUAACGGCCNAACAAGCCUGUAAUCGGUACGGGUUGUGGGAGCAAGAGCCCGGAGAUGGAUUCUGAGACACGAAUCNAGGCCCUACGGGGCGCAGCAGGCGCGAAAACUUUACAAUGCAGGCAACUGUGAUAAGGGAACCCNGNGUGCCCGUAUGGACGGGCNGUUCAGGUGCUUAAAAACCACCUGGAGAAAGGGCCGGGCAAGACCGGUGCCAGCCGCCGCGGUAAUAC
rnacentral:rRNA from 1 species